rnacentral:rRNA from 1 species
CCUACGGGCGGCUGCAGUGGGGAAUAUUGGACAAUGGGGGCAACCCUGAUCCAGCCAUGCCGCGUGUGUGAAGAAGGCCCUCGGGUUGUAAAGCACUUUCAGUGAGGAAGAACGCCUGGUGGUUAAUACCCAUCAGGAAAGACAUCACUCACAGAAGAAGCACCGGCUAACUCCGUGCCAGCAGCCGCGGUAAUACGGAGGGUGCGAGCGUUAAUCGGAAUUACUGGGCGUAAAGCGCGCGUAGGUGGCUUGAUAAGCCGGUUGUGAAAGCCCCGGGCUCAACCUGGGAACGGCAUCCGGAACUGUCCAGCUAGAGUGCAGGAGAGGAAGGUAGAAUUCCCGGUGUAGCGGUGAAAUGCGUAGAGAUCGGGAGGAAUACCAGUGGCGAAGGCGGCCUUCUGGACUGACACUGACACUGAGGUGCGAAAGCGUGGGUAGCAAACAGGAUUAGAUACCCGAGUAGUC